rnacentral:lncRNA from 1 species
CUGACUGCUCAUUUUGUGAGGUUGUUGUUUUUUAUUUGGUGUCUCUCCAUUUCCAUUCUUCUCCCCUCCCCCACCAUCCAGGCGUUGCUAUGGGAACUGGGCUGAGGUCCUUGCAGCAACCUUGAUCUACGGGUUUCAGGCCUGGGCAGGGGCGCAGAUGCUGGAUGCAGGUCCCUGCAGGGCCCUCGGCUUCGCCUCCUCUUACCUCAGUUUCCCCAUCUCUGCAAUGGCAGCACUUGGGCCAUUGUCAAGUCACCAAAGCCACCUGCAGGCGGGCUCCAGAGACGUGCUUCCCUCUCAGACCCCACUCCAGCCCUGACAGGAUACUGAUGGCGCCCAGCCAGAGGCUGGAAUGCUUCCUGCGUGGGGAAAUGUUGGGUUAAAUAUUGGGAUAUAUUGGGUGGAUAUAUUGUGUUAAAUAAAAUAUAUGAUUCAAAUUAGUUUCACCUCUUUCUCUUCAUUUUUUAUCAUGGCCACCUCAGGCUGGCAGCGGUGCUGUCCGAGUCUGCAGGAGGGAGGGGCAGGGAUGCCAGCCAGCCGGGCUGAGCUUUCUUCCUGGGUGCAGGGCUGGGUUAGGGUCCAGGUGAACCCCAGAGGAGGAGGGCGGGGGCUGCAUUUGCUGAUCUUGAUCUUGCUGGGGAGGGCCAAGUACAGGGUGCCCCUGGUGCACUGAGGAGCCCGGGCAUCCCCAGCCAGCUUCCUCCCCUCUUGAGCAGGUGGCGGGGUGACCCAGAGGCCCUUCACUCUGGAGCAGGGUCAGCUGGGAGGCCUGUGAGGCCCGAGGCAGCCUGUGGCAGAAAGGCAGAGGAGGCGCUCUUCCAUCUAGGUCACUUCGGGGAGCCAGCGGCAGCGUCGGCCACCCCCUCUUCCGGCAACUGGGCUUCCGGAGCCCAGGGCCAACUCCAUGCUUAUCCUAUCAAAAAUAGUGACUGAGCCUCGGGGCUGGCAAGGAGCUGAGUGACGAGCUGCCUCUGCGGCUGCCCCGUACCCCUGGUCUCCAUUCCCCCAUAGUAGGCACCCCAGCUCCCAGAUCCUGCUGCAGGCCUGUCCUGAGACAGCCUGUCCUUCCCUUGGCUGUCCCGCGACAGCCAAGUCCUCCUGCCUGCAGCCUGAACCACCUCCUGGGGGUGGCUCCUCCUGCUCCGGCCAUGGCUCUCUCCUGGG